GUCUACGGCCAUACCACCCUGAAUGCGCCCGAUCUCGUCUGAUCUCAGAAGCUAAGCAGGGUCGGGCCUGGUUAGUACUUGGAUGGGAGGCAGAAUGGUGACAAUCUGCAUGCUAUCCUUU
rnacentral:rRNA from 1 species